rnacentral:lncRNA from 1 species
GGAUUCUGUGAAACUGAAGCCAGCCAAGGACUGGAAGAGAGUUCCCAUUCCCUUGAAAUUCCCUCAUCCUAGUCCAGGCUUGGGGAAUUGCUGGACUGUAACAGGCUGCUCAGCUCUCUGGAUGAGAGGACUCACUGCCUUGGAAUUACAGCUGGGAAAUGCUUUUGGAAAAACAGAAGAUGUGCUGGAGGAAGAUAGUGUUGUCUCUCUGGCCUGGCAGGUCACAGCUGGAAUUAACCAUGAGUGGAAUUAACUGAAGUGGAAGAGAAGGAUGAAACAACAGGAAGAGGAACUGCUUGAAAACUGAAAUAAUAAAAAUGAGAGCGAAAGCCGCA